CAGCCGUAAACUAUGCGCGUUAGGUGUACUGGUGACCACGAGUCACCGGGGUGCCGAAGGGAAACCGUGAAACGUGCCGCCUGGGAAGUACGGUCGCAAGGCUGAAACUUAAAGGAAUUGGCGGGGGAGGCACCACAACGGGUGGAGCCUGCGGGUUUAAUUUGGACUCAACGCCGGAAAUCUCACCGGAUAGGACAGACAUAUGAUAGUCGGGCUGAAGACUCUACUUGAUGAUCUGAGAGGAGGUGCAUGGCGUAGACGUCU
rnacentral:rRNA from 1 species